rnacentral:rRNA from 1 species
AAAGGAAUAGACGGGGGCUCACACAAGCGGUGGAGCAUGUGGAUCAAUUCGAAGCAACGCGAAGAACCUUACCUGGGUUUGACAUGUACGGAUGCCCUUCCUGAAAGGGGAGUAAGCUGUCUUCGGAUGAAACGUGCACAGGUGCUGCAUGGCUGUCGUCAGCUCGUGCUGUGAAGUGUCGGGUUAAGUCCCAUAACGAGCGAAACCCCUGUCGUUAGUUGCCAUCGGGUCAUGCCGGGUACUCUAACGAGACUGCCGGUGUCAAACCGGAGGAAGGUGGGGAUGACGUCAAGUCAUCAUGGCCUUUAUGCCCAGGGUGUCACACGUGCUACAAUGGUGCGGACAGAGCGACGCAAGACCGUAAGGUGGAGCAAAUCGCAAAAACCGUAUCUCAGUUCGGAUUGAGGUCUGCAACCCGACCUCAUGAAGCUGGAAUCGCUAGUAAUCGCGCAUCAGCCAUGGCGCGGUGAAUGUGUUCCUGAGCCUUGUACACACCGCCCGU